GGAGAGUUGUCCGAGUGGCUUAAGGUGCGGCUCUCGAAAAGCCGUGUACCCCGCAAAGGGUACCGCGGGUUCAAAUCCCGUGCUCUCCG
rnacentral:tRNA from 1 species